rnacentral:rRNA from 1 species
UUGAACGCUGGCGGCAGGCCUAACCCAUGCAAGUCGAGCGGAUGAAGGGAGCUUGCUCCUGGAUUCAGCGGCGGACGGGUGAGUAAUGCCUAGGAAUCUGCCUGGUAGUGGGGGAUAACGUCCGGAAACGGGCGCUAAUACCGCAUACGUCCUGAGGGAGAAAGUGGGGGAUCUUCGGACCUCACGCUAUCAGAUGAGCCUAGGUCGGAUGAGCUAGUUGGUGGGGUAAAGGCCUACCAAGGCGACGAUCCGUAACUGGUCUGAGAGGAUGAUCAGUCACACUGGAACUGAGACACGGUCCAGACUCCUACGGGAGGCAGCAGUGGGGAAUAUUGGACAAUGGGCGAAAGCCUGAUCCAGCCAUGCCGCGUGUGUGAAGAAGGUCUUCGGAUUGUAAAGCACUUUAAGUUGGGAGGAAGGGCAGUAAGUUAAUACCUUGCUGUUUUGACGUUACCAACAGAAGAAGCACCGGCUAACUUCGUG